rnacentral:rRNA from 1 species
AACGAACGCUGGCGGCAGGCUUAACACAUGCAAGUCGAGCGCCUCGCAAGAGGAGCGGCAGACGGGUGAGUAACGCGUGGGAACGUACCCUUAUCUUCGGAAUAGCUCUGGGAAACUGGAAGUAAUACCGAAUGUGCCCUUAGGGGGAAAGAUUUAUCGGAUAAGGAUCGGCCCGCGUUGGAUUAGCUAGUUGGUGGGGUAAAGGCCUACCAAGGCGACGAUCCAUAGCUGGUCUGAGAGGAUGAUCAGCCACAUUGGGACUGAGACACGGCCCAAACUCCUACGGGAGGCAGCAGUGGGGAAUAUUGGACAAUGGGCGCAAGCCCGAUCCAGCCAUGCCGCGUGAGUGAUGAAGGCCUUAGGGUUGUAAAGCUCUUUCACCGGAGAAGAUAAUGACGGUAUCCGGAGAAGAAGCCCCGGCUAACUUCGUG